GUUUUCUUUAGCUGCAUUUCCCCACAGUUGUUUGGUGUCAAUUCCAUUUUAAGUGAAUCUAUAGUCCUGAAUUCUUUAUUUUAACUCUUUUUUUCUAACCCACUUCAAUUUGUUUUCAUGACACAGUAUUGGCAAAAAAAAAAAAAAAAAAAAAAAAAAAAAAAACACUGAUACUAUUUCAUGAGCUGUUGAAUUUUAAUAAUACCUGCCUAUGCUUUUCUUACAAACUCAGAAGGAGGUCACAUUCCUAGCAGCCGUCUCUGUUUUCAGGCUCUCGUGGACCCUGUUCUACCACACUGUAGCUGGGUGUCACUCCAGCUGUGACCUCAGUCUAGAGAUGCUCAGAGAAUCUCCUGGGCCUGGAUUUCAAUUUAGACUAUACUACUCAUUAGGUAUAUGGUUGUGGGAUUUUUUUAAAAAAAAAACUCCAAUGUGCCUCAGUGUCCUUAAAACAGGCAAAAGACAGUACCAUCUUCAUAGGGUCAAAUCAUGUGGUUGAACAAAGUCAUAUAAAACUAAUGCCUUUGACAGGAACAAUGUGAUGGGAUCCCAUUAUAUUAUCUAGCCUAGUGAUACCAUAGAUGCCGUAGUUUGUGUGUGUGCUCCCUGCAUGGUUCCUUGGAUGGUUAAAUCACACAAUUAUGUAUUUCUUAGAAUGUGUCCCCGUGCUGUAACUCAUGACUGUGCUACCAAAGUUUAUACCUUCACCUUACACUUACUUUUAGUAUUUUUAAUAGAUUUUCAUCCUGAGACAUGACAUAUUAAUAGAGUUCCUGAUACAUGCUUUAUAUUAAAACAUUAUAUAAUACCUUCUUGUAUAGAGGAUUAGUCUAAGGUGCAAUUUUGGCAU
rnacentral:lncRNA from 1 species